CAAUGAAAUAUAUUAGGUUGGUGCAAAAGUUUUUGUGGUUUUUGCUAUCACUUUAAAUGGCAAAAAUCGUAAUUACUUUUGCACCAACUAAUAGUU
rnacentral:miRNA from 10 species